rnacentral:rRNA from 1 species
GCGGGGUAACGGCCCACCUAGUCGACGAUCGGUAGCCGGACUGAGAGGUUGAUCGGCCACAUUGGGACUGAGACACGGCCCAGACUCCUACGGGAGGCAGCAGUGAGGGAUAUUCGGCAAUGGGGGAAACCCUGACCGAGCAACGCCGCGUGAGGGAAGACGGUUUUCGGAUUGUAAACCUCUGUCCUCUGUGAAGAUAGUGACGGUAGCAGAGGAGGAAGCUCCGGCUAACUAC